GACGAACGCUGGCGGCGUGCCUAAUACAUGCAAGUCGAACGAACCGCGAUUUAUUGCUUGCACUAAGUCAAGGUGAGUGGUGAACGGGUGAGUAAUACGUGGGUAACCUUCCUUAUAGUGGUGGAUAACAGUCGGAAACGACUGCUAAUACCGCAGUGUACUUAGGAUCACAUGAUCCAGUGAGGAAUGGGUUUGUUCGCGAUCGCGUAUGGUUGGACCCGCGGUGCAUUAGCUAGUUGGUAGGGUAAAGGCCUACCAAGGCGAUGAUGCAUAGCCGACCUGAGAGGGUGAUCGGCCACAUUGGGACUGAGACACGGCCCAAACUCCUACGGGAGCACGCAGUAGGCACACUUCCGCAAUGGACGCAAGUCUGACGGAGCAACGCCGCGUGAGAGAAGAAGGAAUUCGGAUCGUAAAGCUCUGUUGUUAGAGAAGACAAAAGACUAGAGUAACUGCUAUGCGUGUGACGGUAUCUAACCAGAAAGCCACGGCUAACUACGUG
rnacentral:rRNA from 1 species